AUUCAAAAAAUAGAGAGUAACACGCUCACCAUCUUACUCAGGUUUUGUAGGUUUUUAGAGAAGAAAAGUUGUAUACAAAGUUGAGUAAGUAUGGGUUCUGCCUCGAACAGACUACCUUCCUCGAGCAGACUACCUUCCUAGAGCACGUACAUAUCAAGGAAAGAAAUGUCAUUGAACUCUGAAAAAGUUGAGGUAGUGUU
rnacentral:lncRNA from 1 species